CCCGUUCUAUAUUGUAUAUAUCUGCAUAAUCUAUAAUGUCCUGUAUUUGCCUUAAUUUAAAUCCAAUGAAUCUAUUUUUCAUGUAUCCAGACUGAUCUGUGUUUAUGAGUUUUGGUAAAACUUUUUUCAGUCGUUGAGCUAGUACAUGGGACAAGAUUUUAAGAUCGACGUUUAAUAAUGAAAUUGGUCUAUAAUUUUCUAAUUUUAA
rnacentral:lncRNA from 1 species